rnacentral:rRNA from 1 species
UACGGGGGGGGCAAGCGUUGUUCGGAAUUACUGGGCGUAAAGGGCUCGUAGGCGGCCAACUAAGUCAGACGUGAAAUCCCUCGGCUUAACCCGGGGAACUGCGUCUGAUACUGGAUGGCUAGAGUCUCGGAGAGGAUCGUGGAAUUCUCGGUGUAGAGGUGAAAUUCGUAGAUAUCGAGAGGAACACCGGGUCGGCGAAGGCGGCGAUCUGGACGAUGACUGACGCUGAGACGCGAAAGCGUGGGAGCAAACAGG